rnacentral:rRNA from 1 species
UGCCAGCCGCCGCGGUAAUACGGAGGGGGUUAGCGUUGUUCGGAAUUACUGGGCGUAAAGCGCUCGUAGGCGGAUUGGUCAGUCAGAGGUGAAAGCCCAGGGCUCAACCUUGGAAUUGCCUUUGAUACUGCCAGUCUUGAGUUCAGGAGAGGUAAGCGGAAUUCCGAGUGUAGAGGUGAAAUUCGUAGAUAUUCGGAGGAACACCAGUGGCGAAGGCGGCUUUCUGGACCAAUACUGACGCUGAGAUGCGAAAGCGUGGGGAGCGAACAGGAUUAGAUA